AUGCAGAGGAACCUGGGAGCUGUGCUGGGGAUUCUGUGGGUGCCGAUAUGCUGGGUGAGAGGAGUUGAAGUGGAGCAGAGUCCUUCAGCCCUGAUUCUCCAAGAGGGAACAAGUUCUGUUCUGAGAUGCAAUUUUUCUACCGCCAUGACAACUGUGCAGUGGUUCCUACAGAAUCCCAGGGGCAGCCUCAUCAAUCUUUUUUACCUGGUUCCAGGAACAAAGGAGAAUGGAAGGUUAACAUCAACAUUCAGUUCUAAGGAGCGCUACAGCACCCUGCACAUCAGGGACACCCAGCCGGAGGACUCAGGCUCUUACUUCUGUGCUGCCGAGGCACAGUGCUCCCAGCAAGGCUGGAGCCUGGCCCCAAACUGCAGCUGA